GCAUAUCAAUAAGCGGAGGAAAAGAAACCAACAGGGAUUGCCUCAGUAACGGCGAGUGAAGCGGCAACAGCUCAAAUUUGAAAUCUGGCUCCUUCGGGGCCCGAGUUGUAAUUUGCAGAGGAUGCGUCGGGUACGGGUGCCUUCCGAGUUCCCUGGAACGGGACGCCAUAGAGGGUGAGAGCCCCGUCUGGUAGGACACCCAGCCCGUGUGACGCUCCCUCGACGAGUCGAGUAGUUUGGGAAUGCUGCUCUAACGGGAGGUAUACUCCUUCCAAGGCUAAAUACCGGCUGGAGACCGAUAGCGCACAAGUAGAGUGAUCGAAAGAUGAAAAGCACUUUGAAAAGAGAGUCAAACAGCACGUGAAAUUGUUAAAAGGGAAGCGCUCGCUACCAGACUUGGGUUCGGCGGUUCAACCGGGGCCACGCCCCGGGGCAUUCCGCCGGCCCAGGCCAGCAUCAGCUUUCCGUCGGGGGUAAAGGCGUCGGGAAUGUGGCUCCCCUUCGGGGGAGUGUUAUAGCCCGUCGUGUCAUACCCUUCGGGGGGCUGAGGUACGCGCUUCUGCAAGGAUGCUGGCGUAAUGGUAGCUAGUGACCCGUCUUGAAACACGGACCAAGGAGUCAACCUUAUGUGCGAGUGCCCGGGCGUAAAACCCCAGCGCGGAAUGAAAGUGAACGUAGGUGAGAGCUUCGGCGCAUCACCGACCGAUCCUGAUGUCCUCGGACGGAUUUGAGUGAGAGCAUAUAGGGUUGGACCCGAAAGAAGAUGAACUAUGCGUGUGUAGGGUGAAGCCAGAGGAAACUCUGGUGGAGGCUCGCAGCGGUUCUGACGUGCAAAUCGAUCGUCAAACAUGCGCAUGGGGGCGAAAGACUAAUCGAAUCUUCUGGUAGCUGGUUUC
rnacentral:rRNA from 1 species